AGAGUUUGAUCAUGGCUCAGAAUCAACGCUGGCGGCGCGCUUAACACAUGCAAGUCGCACGAGAAAGGGAGCAAUCCUAAGUAAAGUGGCGCACGGGUGAGUAACACGUGGAUCAUCUACCUUUUAGUGGGGAAUACCUCUGGGAAACCGGAGACAAUACCGCAUAAGCCCGCAAGGGGAAAGCAGCAAUGCGCUGAAAGAGGAGUCCGCGGCCGAUUAGCUAGUUGGCGGGGUAACGGCCCACCAAGGCGAAGAUCGGUAGCCGGCCUGAGAGGGCACACGGCCACACUGGCACUGAAACACGGGCCAGACUCCUACGGGAGGCAGCAGUGGGGAAUCUUGCACAAUGGGCGAAAGCCUGAUGCAGCGACGCCGCGUGAGCGAUGAAGCCCUUCGGGGUGUAAAGCUCUUUCGACGGGAACGAUAAUGACGGUACCCGGAGAAGAAGCUGCGGCUAACUACGUGCCAGCAGCCGCGGUAAUACGUAGGCAGCGAGCGUUGUUCGGAAUUACUGGGCGUAAAGAGUGUGUAGGCGGUGUUCCCAGUCUGUUGUGAAAUCUCCCGGCUUAACUGGGAGGGUGCAGCGGAAACUAGAAUGCUAGAGGGUGGGAGAGGUAAGCGGAAUUCCUGGUGUAGCGGUGAAAUGCGUAGAUAUCAGGAGGAACACCUGGUGUAGACAGCUUACUGGACCACUUCUGACGCUGAGACACGAAAGCGUGGGUAGCAAACAGGAUUAGAUACCCCUGUAGUCC
rnacentral:rRNA from 1 species